CUGCCCGUCUUGGCCUCCCAAAGUGCUGGGAUGACAGAUGUGAGCCACCGCACCUGACCAAGGGCUUGGAGUUCUGAGGCCUGCGAGUCUGACGGUGCUAUUGGGUGGACAUCAGCUCUUAAAAGCCGCCAUCGCCCUGGGUCGCCUAGCAGCAUUUGAACUGAGAAAGGCAUUAUUUUUGCAUAGAAACAGAGUGUUAGGGUUGGAAGUUGCCCAGCGUGUCAGACCCUCCUCAGAUCUAGAAGUUUCUGGUUUGUGUCCAAUAGGAGAAUGGAAGGAAAAGACGCCUGUCUGAAAAGGAAAACCAUUUUCUCCAUUAACUACUUUCUCCUCUUUUCUGGUAAACUUUUUACAAGGAAACACACUUUUUGCUGGCCAAGCAGAGCCUCCCGGGCAGUCCUGCAUCCUGCAGACAAGGGGCGGGGCUGUGGUGGGAGAAGGAUGGCAGAUUCCAGCCGAGGCGGACCCAGUGGCCACACGAGACUCCGACAUGUGUCUGGGCGCAGCUUGCCUGGCCGUUCUGCUUGGUGCACUGGCCACACCCUGUCACCCGCGUGCUUCUGAGUUAAUGUACCAGGCAGUGACCUUGAUAAUGAUCUGGAAUUGCAGGAUUAAUGGGGGGUGGCAAGGCCUCCUGGGAAGGCACCGGCUUGGCCUCGGGAGUCCUUGGUCUACGGCCCUGGCUGACCUUGUUUGUAGGUGACCUGGGGUGGACGUGGUGUCCCGGAAACCCCGCUUCCUUGCCUGGGGAGAGCAGAACCUCCUGGGCCAGGCAGAGUCUCCUGGAAUCCUGGGGAAAUGCUGGGUAAGAACAGGAGGAGCUUGGAGCAUCUCAUGGAAACAAGUGCCACCUCCCUCCAGAAUGCCGCACUUGCUCCUGUUCCUCGGAGAAAGAAGGAGUUGCUGCAAGCACAUAGGAUGGGAUUUGCCGCGUCUUCCUGAGCUCGGCCUCCCGGGGAAGCGUGCGGCAGGCGGGCGAGCCGACCCCGCUUUCCUUUCUGGGUGAGACCUGUUUCGUGGCCACAAAGGUCCCACUGACUUCCCUGUGUCCAGCUCUGCUGCCAGGGAGCUCUUAAACGAGUACCUGGGGAGGGGUCACCAGCAACAUGAAAAAGGAAAGGCUCGGGGCCUCUGUGCCAGGAGCAGGGAAGAGGGCCCCUCGCCAGGUGGGUACUUAAAAUCUGAGGCUGAGCUGGAGGGAGAGGGCAGAGCUGGGGUCAGGGAGGGAGCAGGCAGAGCCACGCCGAGGUAGCGGCGGAAAUGCAGGUGCUGGUGGGAACCAAGAGGAUGGGGCCUCCCCAUCUCAGUUUGUGUGAAGCCCAUCCACAGUGGCAGAGAGGACCGCAGCGAGGGGGCCGGGAGGAUGAGCGGGAGGACCGCAGCGAGGGGGCCGGGAGGAUGAGCGGGAGGACCUCAGCGAGGGGGCCGGGAGGAUGAGCGGGGGCCUCCAUUCCACCUUCAAAGACUCUGGGGUGCAGGCGUCCAGCCAGGACCUCUGAGAGGCGCCCAGAACAUGGGGACGGAGGCAGGAGGCUGUGAGGAGAGAGGGGCCUUGGCCACCUCUGCUGUCCCUACUGCAGGCCAGCGUCCGGCCGGCUCCAGGCCUGGACUCCCAGAAUUCAAAGGUGCCCCCGCUCAGGCAGCCCUGCCCCCACCGCCCACUCAGGCCAGGGCCAGAGGGGUGUCAAGAUCACCUGAAAAGGCAGCCCCUGAGGGUGACCAGAGCCCCGAGCCCCAGCGGGGACAAAUGAGGAGCUUAACUAGCACAAGGCCGCAUAAAAGGGAACGGGAGAGGAGGGACAAAGCCUCACCCAUGUGCUCUUUUGGGCUUUGUGCGCACUGGCCCCUUUCCCAGUAUAUCAGGCUCCCAGUGAAUGGAGGCCCGCGCCGCGCAGUCCUUCCGCAGCCCUGACGGUUUCACGAGCCGGUGAAUGGAGUGCAAAUUAGCAGGGUCCCCGGGAGCCUUGUUACUGUCACUCCCAAACUGACGGCCCAAAGACGACGCGAGGAUUAAUCCACCCGGAGAACUCGCCCAUUAUCCAGGCAAGGUAGGAAGCUAUUUAUUGUCCCCUCUUUCAUGUCUCCUCCAUGUUGCCCACUGCAGCGAGCCUUUACAGCAGAAUGGAGCAGCCGCGGAUACACACCCGCUCCCACCCACACACUCACGCCGGGCCCAGGCCGCCAGGCGUGGAUGCACGCGCACGCACACGCAUGCACACGUGCACACGCAUGGACACGCUCGUGCUGCAAGGCCAUGGGCCACCGUGUGCUGUUCCGUGCACAUUUAUUCUCCUCUGAGGACCCAGGCCGGCUUGUCCGUGAAGUGCCAACAUUAGGGGCUGUGCAGGGCAGGGUGAGCGAGCACUGACCACCAGCGCCGGCCCCCACUGCUGCGGCCAGUGGGCUGGACGACCAAGGACGAGGCCGGGGCCUUGAGACAAAAGUCCCAGCAAUGAGGCAGGGACCUCACAGCAGAGGGAGCUGGACCCAACCUGUUUUCAAGACACGAAUCUGCUGCAGCCCCCGACGGGCCCCAAGAGACUCUGCCUUGAGUCUUUUCUUAGGAGUCCACCCACGGCCGCAUCUCCAGCUAGAUCAAGCCCACGGCUUUUCACACUGCUGGACCAGACACCACGAGAGAUGUUCGGUCAACACUGUGCAUAUCUCAACUUUCAGGUGGACACUGCUGCCCGGAAAUGACUUUCACUUAUUUUCAAUCGGUCUACUUAGAAAAAGAAAAUCGGCAUUGGCUACGCUGUGACCAAGACAGCUUAGGGAAGAAGGGCAGGGUGGCUGCUGACCGCAGGCUCUCAACAGACCUGUGUACAAUGGGUGGGCAAGCAAGUGUCCAUGAGUGCAGAGACAGACAAGCAGAUGUCUAAUGAAGGAGGAGACAACCAGCAUCGAACAAAUGACCAAGAAAUAGAUGCCUAGUGGGUGAAUUGAUCAGCAAAUGUAUACACGUGUGCAUAAACAAAUCAAUAUCUAAUAUCUAAACUAAUAAAUGUAUGAACAAAUACAUGCCUAAUGAGUGAAUAGACAAAUAUCUCAUGAAUGCGUGGACAAAUCGAUAUCUAAUGAAUGGACAAACAAAUGCAUAUCUAUGAAUGGAUGAACAAAUACAUAUCGAAUAAAUAAAUGAAUAAAUACCUAAUAGAUAUAUGAACAGAUAUAUCUCUAAUGAGUGAAUAAACAAAUAUCUCAUGAAUACGUGGACAAAGCGAUAUCUAACGAAUGAAUGAACAAAUGCAUAUCUAUGAAUGGAUAAAGAAAUAAACAUCUCAUAAGUGAA
rnacentral:lncRNA from 1 species